rnacentral:rRNA from 1 species
GAUGAACGCUGGCGGCGUGCCUAAUACAUGCAAGUCGAGCGAACAGACGAGGAGCUUGCUCCUCUGACGUUAGCGGCGGACGGGUGAGUAACACGUGGAUAACCUACCUAUAAGACUGGGAUAACUUCGGGAAACCGGAGCUAACACCGGAUAAUAUAUUGAACCGCAUGGUUCAAUAGUGAAAGACGGUUUUGCUGUCACUUAUAGAUGGAUCCGCGCCGCAUUAGCUAGUUGGUAAGGUAACGGCUUACCAAGGCGACGAUGCGUAGCCGACCUGAGAGGGUGAUCGGCCACACUGGAACUGAGACACGGUCCAGACUCCUACGGGAGGCAGCAGUAGGGAAUCUUCCGCAAUGGGCGAAAGCCUGACGGAGCAACGCCGCGUGAGUGAUGAAGGUCUUCGGAUCGUAAAACUCUGUUAUUAGGGAAGAACAAAUGUGUAAGUAACUAUGCACGCCUUGACGGUACCUAAUCAGAAAGCCACGGCUAACUACGUG